rnacentral:rRNA from 1 species
UACGUAGGGUGCGAGCGUUGUCCGGAAUUACUGGGCGUAAAGAGCUCGUAGGUGGUUUGUCGCGUUGUUCGUGAAAACCUGAGGCUUAACCUUGGGCGUGCGGGCGAUACGGGCAGACUGGAGUACUGCAGGGGAGACUGGAAUUCCUGGUGUAGCGGCGAAAUGCGCAGAUAUCGGGAAGAACACCCGUGGCUAAGGCGGCUCUCUAGUACGGUACUGACGCUGAGACGCGAAAGCGUGGGGAGCGAACAGG